rnacentral:rRNA from 1 species
UACAGAGGGGGCAAGCGUUGUUCGGAAUUACUGGGCGUAAAGGGUGCGUAGGCGGCGAGGCAAGUUCGAUGUGAAAUCUCCGGGCUCAACUCGGAAAUGGCAUUGAAUACUAUCCCGCUUGAGGGUCGGAGGGGAGACUGGAAUUCUCGGUGUAGCAGUGAAAUGCGUAGAUAUCGAGAGGAACACCAGUGGCGAAGGCGAGUCUCUGGACGACUCCUGACACUGAGGCACGAAAGCUGGGGGAGCAAACAGG